CUUUAACUCUUCCACAAGGAACUCUUCUUCCUCCUUUUCUUGAGUUCUUCUGUCUCCUCACCCCCUGGUAUCCUGCAUUCUGCUCACAUACAGGCAACUUGGAUUAUAUUAUCCUAAGAAUCACAUAUUAAAAUAUCAAGAAGUGGCAAGAGGUGUGUGGCAACUGAAGGAUGUCUUCAAUCUUAAAAGUAUUUGGGAGAGAAGACAAAGAGAAAGAGAAGGAAAAGGAAAAAGAGAAGAAGAAGAAUGGAGACAAACACAAAAAGAAGAAGAAAGAGAAAAAGCAGGAUGGACAUGAUGAUGACAGCAGCAGCAGCAGCAGCAGCUUGGACAGUGAUUCUGAGAAGGGUCACAAGAAAAAGACAGAAAAAGACUGAUGUUGUGAUUAUCUAUAACUAACUCAGCAACAUCAGCAGAGCUUGCUUCAGGGCAUUUGAUAACAUUCUACCUGGAAGAAGAACAAGAUGUAUCUGGCUGUUAAUCCAAAAUAAAGUAACUUUGUUGUAUUUUACAUUAAAGUAUCCAUGCUCUCUUUAGUGAUUUAACUUCCUUCAUAAAAAUUGGCUAUCA